rnacentral:lncRNA from 1 species
CCUCAAGCUAGUACCAUUCCACCACAAAUGUGCAGAGGCAUGCGUCAUCUAUGCAUGCCUGGUGCGGCCUUCCUCUUCGGUCUUAUCAUCCACCUGGCCGUCGGCGAAAUAUCCCAUCCUACCUGCUCAUUGUCAAGUAUAACCAUGCUUCCAACGCGACAUUAUCGUGAGUAAAAAUGCAUGCAGAACAUUACAAAUAUCAAAAUAUCUAAAUGUAUAGCUUUCAAAAGUAGGAUUUAAUAUAGCUUUCAACAGGAUUAAUCUGUAAUAUAAUCAAGCAUGGGCUAGAUUAUCAUUGAGAAAGCAUACUACAGAAGCAAGCUGAAGCUACCCGCUCUUAGGUCUAUAGUGUAUAUUGUACACCAUACAAGCAUAAUUUUGAGAUCAACGCUACAACUUUGUCAUGCAUCAGGGUAUGUUUGUUUUGAAAAGAACACAAGCUGUGUGGGCUGUUCUACAACUGAUCUAAUGACGACGUGAACAUAAAAAUGGCACGUGAUAUCUACAAUUGAUCCAAUGAACUAAAAUUGUCCCAUAAGCCACUUUUUCCACUGUUUGUCUCAUCCAACAACAACCUUUAUAAAAUAAGAAACCACACAACACAUAAAUUGAAAGACCUAAUAGAACAUGGAAGUGUUCCUAGCUCUAGCAACAUUGCCGACAUAUGCAUCUCAAGCAACAACAAACCAUGGCUCUUCUCCGUUUCUGAAGCAAGUUAAUUAAUAUGACAAAAUCAGAAAUAAAUCUAUAUUCUUUUCUAAUGGAUAUCAAUCUAUAAAUCUGAAUUAUAUUUGAGGCCACAAAGUGUAGCUUUUACCAUAACAAUACUGUACAUUUUGAGAAAACAAAUUGGGCUACUAAAUUAAUCAUGAGUAGAUCAUGAGAUUACUCGUCAAUUUUAGUGAGCCCAGCCACUCCUUACUUACACCUAUUCUUUUAAUCAACAUGCGCCUUUAAUUCCUCCAUGGCAGCAUACAACCACCAUCAUGCUACGUGGGGUUUAACACUCCCGCAGAAAUUAGAGCAAAACAAAAAAAGAACUAUGUUGCGCAUACUUUCACCUCAUCUACUCACUAUAAUAUCUAGAAUUUGGAGCUGAGAAUAUACCUGCAGACAAAUAAUAUAACAUUGAUGGGGAUCCCUAACAUCUCAACCAAUCUGUUAUCCUCCAGCUUGAGACUACUUGUAAAGUAACUUUCUGCACUAAAUCCCUCGCCUGUAACGAUAAAUGGUUGUAUUUGCAUUGUACAUUUUUCUAAGGCGGGUCAUGAAUCUGGAAGAUCUUUCAACAAAACAUUACACCUAAACAUUUCAUCUACAAGCCUGCUCGUCCCAACUUUACACCUAAACAUUUCUGUAUGUGGGUGUAUCACAUCCAUGCCCCGUCAUAUCUUGAAUGGGAAGUCAUAUGGCUAGAGAUCAAAGGGAUCAACACCUAAGGUUUUUAUUUCUUAAAUAAUCGGCCAAACCGCCAGCCAAUAUUGAUUUUUAGAAAGUAAAAGUUAAGCACAAUAUGAAUAUACAAAUGGAAAUUCUACACUUUAAAUGCGUACAUCAUCUUCUCAAGUGAAAUAAUAAAGACUCCCCUGUUCGUUAGAAAAAAGAAACUCCCAUGUCAAGGUAAUCUUCCUAGUACAACCACUUGUUGUGCUUCCUUUAAAGAAACUAAUAAGGACAAAUCGUCAUUAGGAACUUCGGAUAUCAACACAAAUCCUUAAUUUGGAUCGCUGUAAAAUAUAACCAAGGAUAUAAGCACCAAAGCUACAGUAGCAGUUAGCAUAUGCUGAAUCAUAAAGGAAGAGCCGAAGAGGAGAGCAUAGAAAAAAUAGCAUGUGGUCUUCAUAUGCUGAAAAUGAGAAUCAAUAACCAAGUAGAUUCAGAAUGGGGAUAGAUUCAGGCCUGAAAAGGUUGCAGUCUCUCUCCUUUGCUUUACUUCAUAGGUCAUUUUUUAUUAGAGGUUCCAGCUCUACACAGUACCUAUGCAAGUGCCUAAUCAGGAUACAUGUCACUGUUGAAACGCAAAACAAAAAACCAUAACAACCAUUGAACACAAACAAGAGAAGAGGAGAAAUCUUACACUUCGAUGAAAUAGAUAAUACACAUGCAUUAGUUACCUCACACUUGCUGAGCUUGAAGAAUUUGAUGAAGAUGAUGUCAGUGUACAUUGUACUUAUGGGAUUCCUUUGCAUCCAUGGACGCGCCAAAAAAGCUGCACAUAUUAAGGAAAAAAAGUGUUUGAUGACAACAAGUUAACAGCCACACAAAUCCAAGGCGGCGUAUAAUCUUCGUGUUUGGGCUUAUUGUGCUAAGGAUGCCGAAAAGCUGCAGGUGCAACAACGGGUGUAAAUUCAACACUGCCGCAUGUGUUUCUCCAUUGUCCACAAAUAUUAAAUUUCAAUAAUUUGCAUAAGCCCUGAACCUUCUGCAUUCCUUAAUUCAAUGUUCAGGUGAACAAAAUGAAUAUUGUAGUUUCCGCAAAAAAAAUUGAAUGGAGUGAAUGUUGCUACAGUCACAUUAGCCGAAGUAAUAGAUGAAUCUGUACUGUCCGUAUAAAUAAAUCUAUAGACUAUAAAAAAACUAAACGGUGAUACUCACCGACAGUACCUCUUUAGUAGUGAUGUCCAGCGUUGGAGGCAUGAUUUAUGUUAGUAGCAAGUGGUUAGUAGUCGAUGAGAGUACCAUGCAUGAUUGCAGUGCUCGAGAUGAAACUGCUCCUAGNNNNNNNNNNGUUGAUCAAAGUUACUGAGCAUGGCAAAAAAGUUCAUCGAGAGUUACCGGAGUGACACGGGCAUCUAGUGCGGAGACGAGGGGCUGAUAGUCUUGGUCCGGCCCAUGGAUGAUGUAGGAGAUUAACUCGUCGUCCUGGAUGGGUUUUCCCGCCGCGGCGAGUUCAUCGGCGAGACCCAUCAUGGCGGCGAAGAAGGUGGCCACCGAUUGAUUGCCCUUCUGCGCAUUGAUCAGCGUUGUCCGGAUGUUGUUGACGCGGCUGAGUGACUGUGACGAAAACAUGUUCGCCAGUGCCACCCAAAGAGCGCGCGCCGUGGUGAUCGUGGUCUCCGUGAUGAGCACUUCCUUGGAGAGGUGUUGGAGAAGAUAGCCGAGGACCUGCUGAUCCUCCUUCACCCAGAGCGGAUGAAGGGGAUUUGGCUCAGUGGUCUCCUUGCCGGCGGCGUCCUUGGUGGUGAGGACUUCGGCCGGCUCCGUUGCCGUGUCAUCAACAUAGUGGAAGAGGCCGGAUCCCCGCAGUUGUGGCCUGACCUAAGUCCGCCACAAAACAUAGUUGCCGCGGGUUAGCUUCUCCGGGGCUCCACCGCCGAGGGUCGACUGGAAGGAGGCGGAGGAGGAAGACAUGGCUGCGCGCACUUGAUGGACAUGGAUAAGCUAGGGUUUCUGGUGGAAGAAGGAGGCUCUGUAUACCAUGUGCGAUGCGGUAAACGUCUUGGCUUUCCUGGCCAGACGUGUUGCGUGUUAAAUAGCUGGGUUGCGAGCCCCGGAUAUGCGUACAGGUUGUUGGGAUACAUCUCUUGGAGAGAAAGAAAAUACUAGAGAUAAGAAAGAUAAAGAUUACAUAGUAUGCUAGCUAACUAACUACUCCACGGGAUGAUCUUGUACCGACGCAACUCCUUGACAUACACGCAAUAUCUCAUGUUUGACAGCCUCAAGCUAGUACCAUUCCACCACAAAUGUGCAGAGGCAUGCNNNNNNNNNNAACAACCAUUGAACACAAACAAGAGAAGAGGAGAAAUCUUACACUUCGAUGAAAUAGAUAAUACACAUGCAUUAGUUACCUCACACUUGCUGAGCUUGAAGAAUUUGAUGAAGAUGAUGUCAGUGUACAUUGUACUUAUGGGAUUCCUUUGCAUCCAUGGACGCGCCAAAAAAGCUGCACAUAUUAAGGAAAAAAAGUGUUUGAUGACAACAAGUUAACAGCCACACAAAUCCAAGGCGGCGUAUAAUCUUCGUGUUUGGGCUUAUUGUGCUAAGGAUGCCGAAAAGCUGCAGGUGCAACAACGGGUGUAAAUUCAACACUGCCGCAUGUGUUUCUCCAUUGUCCACAAAUAUUAAAUUUCAAUAAUUUGCAUAAGCCCUGAACCUUCUGCAUUCCUUAAUUCAAUGUUCAGGUGAACAAAAUGAAUAUUGUAGUUUCCGCAAAAAAAAUUGAAUGGAGUGAAUGUUGCUACAGUCACAUUAGCCGAAGUAAUAGAUGAAUCUGUACUGUCCGUAUAAAUAAAUCUAUAGACUAUAAAAAAACUAAACGGUGAUACUCACCGACAGUACCUCUUUAGUAGUGAUGUCCAGCGUUGGAGGCAUGAUUUAUGUUAGUAGCAAGUGGUUAGUAGUCGAUGAGAGUACCAUGCAUGAUUGCAGUGCUCGAGAUGAAACUGCUCCUAGCUAGUUGAACAUUCACACAGAAAGGACACGUUAUAUAUGACAUCUCAAGUGAGAAGACCAUGUAGCAGUGAUGUCCAGACGUGAAGGCAUAAUUUAUGUAGCGCCAACCUUAACGGCAGCACGUUUAGAGACAUGAUUUAGAUGAAGAGUGAGUCCAGCCAUGGAAGGAUAUCAUGCAAACGAAUCUAUAUGUAUACUUCUAUAUUACUAUUAAACAAUCGAACAAUUUCUUUCUUAACGCCACACAACAAUUGUACCCAGGUUGAUUAGCACCGCUAGAUUAAACCCACUGAAUAAAAUCUAAUGGUUAUGAUUAAUUUAAUCCCGAGUCAUGUGUGUAGUUAGCAAUUUAGAAUGACUGACCGUACUCCACCCGCAUAGGAAUAUUCCACAUGCCGUUUCCCAGUAAUCACGUUAUUCCAUCUGUUAAUUCCUCCCCUACCAAAAAUCUCUUCCAAUCAAAUAGGAGGCAUGCACGCCCGCCGCACGGAGUCAUCACCAACCUCCUCCACUCCUCUCGCUCCCCACGCCCACGCGAUGCCGCCUAGAUCAGAGGAAUUGGAGGCCGUCGCUCCGCCAUGUUCUGUUCAGGAGCCGAAACAACAAGCACCAAUGGCCGCUCCACAGCCGGCGGCCAACACAAGUGGGUUACACAUCUGCAUCAUCACAAAGCUCACCCCCUUGAUCAUAGCCGGAGAGAUGAGAGGGUAAAAGCAAGAUUUCCUUGCAGAGUAGGGCACCGGCAUUGGGAUGAAGAUCCGCAAAGGGAAAUUUUGUCUCAUCAAAAACAACAUCACGUGAGAUAUAUACCCUACCAGUGGAGAUGUCAAGACACUUGACACCUUUGUGUUGGGCGCUAUAGCCAAGAAAAGCACACCGUUUUGAGCGAAACAUGAGCUUGCGUUGAUUAUAAGGCCGAAGAGAGGUGUAAUCAGGUUUCGUGUGGAGGAGACGUUCCAUAGGUGUUUCAUUAUUUAUGAAACGACUAGGAAGCAUAUUGAUGAUGUGAACAGCUGUUAGAAAGCCCUCAUCCCAAAACUUGAGAGGCAUGGAGGCUCCUGCGAGGAGGGCCAAGCCAACCUCAACAAUGUGCCUAUGCUUGCGUUCGGCUGACCCGUUUUGUUGGUGAGCGUGUGGGCAUGAUACUUGGUGAGAUAUGCCUAUAUUUUGGAAGAAGGAAUUGAGUUUCUCGUAUUCCCCUCCCCAAUCGGAUUGGACAGCAAUGAUCUUACUGUCAAACUUUCUUUCAACGAGUGCUUGAAAGUUGUGGAAAACUUGAAACACAUCAGAUCUUUUUUUGAGAAGAUAGAUCCAUGAGAAUUUGCUAUAGUCAUCGAUAAAACUAACAUAGUACAUGUGUCUACCAACAGAGGAGGGGGCCGGUCCCCACACAUCAGAAAAGAUCAAUUGUAAGGGUUUAGUGGAGACACUAGUAGAUGACUUUUAGCACACUGACAUGAAUCACAAAUAGUUUCAACAUUGCGCUCACCAACAAACGGGAGCUUAUUUUUCCUAAGUAAUUUUUCAACCAAAGAAAACGAGGCAUGUCCUAAACGGUCAUGCCAUCGUGUGGACGAAAGCUUGAUAGCACCACAAGCUUGUUUAUUGAAUCUUCUAAACUCUGAAAUCAACGGGUAGAGCCCUCGAACACAUCUACCUCGAUAGAGAAUUUUCCUCGUGGCCUGAUCCUUGAUCAAAAAGAAGGAGGGAUGAAAUUCAAGAAAAACAUGAUUAUCAAUAGUAAUUCUAUGAACGGAGAGAAGAUUCUUAUGGGCACUAGAACAUGCAGGAUUCUUUUGAGAUGAAUUUUACGACUAGGGGUAUUAAAAAUUGAGUGGCCAAUGUGACUUAUACCCAUACCUUCACCACUGGACGUAUGAAUUUGAUCUUUGCCACGAUAUUUCUCCUUCAUGGUGACUUUCUCGAGUUCAUUGGUGAUGUGGUUGGUGGCACCACUGUCAACAUACCAGUUUGUGUCAAUUCCACAGGAGCCAUCGGCCGGCCGCCGCAGCAACUUUCUCUUCAUCUUGUGAGGAGUCGCCGUCAUCUUCUUCAUAGCGGUACCAACAGUCCUUUGCUGUAUGGCCAGGCUUGCCACAAAUUUGGCAGCGAGGCAAGUCCGGACGGGACCGGUUGGAACCACCACUGCCACCACCACGGCGCCCUUUGGAGUUAUCGGAGCGCCCGCCGCCGCGUGAAUUGUUGGAGUAGCCACUGCCGUUGGAGCUAAACCUCCCCUUGCUACGGGAAGAUGAACGCGAGCGAGAGCCACCACCGCGGCCUCUGGAUGCAGAGUUGGUCGAUGAUUUGAAGCCACCACCGGGACCAUGAUACUGUGCCAUGUGUUGAUCAAAGUUACUGAGCAUGGCAAAAAAGUUCAUCGAGAGUUACCGGAGUGACACGGGCAUCUAGUGCGGAGACGAGGGGCUGAUAGUCUUGGUCCGGCCCAUGGAUGAUGUAGGAGAUUAACUCGUCGUCCUGGAUGGGUUUUCCCGCCGCGGCGAGUUCAUCGGCGAGACCCAUCAUGGCGGCGAAGAAGGUGGCCACCGAUUGAUUGCCCUUCUGCGCAUUGAUCAGCGUUGUCCGGAUGUUGUUGACGCGGCUGAGUGACUGUGACGAAAACAUGUUCGCCAGUGCCACCCAAAGAGCGCGCGCCGUGGUGAUCGUGGUCUCCGUGAUGAGCACUUCCUUGGAGAGGUGUUGGAGAAGAUAGCCGAGGACCUGCUGAUCCUCCUUCACCCAGAGCGGAUGAAGGGGAUUUGGCUCAGUGGUCUCCUUGCCGGCGGCGUCCUUGGUGGUGAGGACUUCGGCCGGCUCCGUUGCCGUGUCAUCAACAUAGUGGAAGAGGCCGGAUCCCCGCAGUUGUGGCCUGACCUAAGUCCGCCACAAAACAUAGUUGCCGCGGGUUAGCUUCUCCGGGGCUCCACCGCCGAGGGUCGACUGGAAGGAGGCGGAGGAGGAAGACAUGGCUGCGCGCACUUGAUGGACAUGGAUAAGCUAGGGUUUCUGGUGGAAGAAGGAGGCUCUGUAUACCAUGUGCGAUGCGGUAAACGUCUUGGCUUUCCUGGCCAGACGUGUUGCGUGUUAAAUAGCUGGGUUGCGAGCCCCGGAUAUGCGUACAGGUUGUUGGGAUACAUCUCUUGGAGAGAAAGAAAAUACUAGAGAUAAGAAAGAUAAAGAUUACAUAGUAUGCUAGCUAACUAACUACUCCACGGGAUGAUCUUGUACCGACGCAACUCCUUGACAUACACGCAAUAUCUCAUGUUUGACAGCCUCAAGCUAGUACCAUUCCACCACAAAUGUGCAGAGGCAUGCAUCAUCUAUGCAUGCCUGGUGCGGGCUUCCUCUUCGGUCUUAUCAUCCACCUGGCCGUCGGCGAAAUAUCCCAUCCUACCUGCUCAUUGUCAAGUAUAACCACGCUUCCAACGCGACAUUAUCGUGAGUAAAAAUGCAUGCAGAACAUUACAAAUAUCAAAAUAUCUAAAUGUAUAGCUUUCAAAAGUAGGAUUUAAUAUAGCUUUCAACAGGAUUAAUCUGUAAUAUAAUCAAGCAUGGGCUAGAUUAUCAUUGAGAAAGCAUACUACAGAAGCAAGCUGAAGCUACCCGCUCUUAGGUCUAUAGUGUAUAUUGUACACCAUACAAGCAUAAUUUUGAGAUCAACGCUACAACUUUGUCAUGCAUCAGGGUAUGUUUGUUUUGAAAAGAACACAAGCUGUGUGGGCUGUUCUACAACUGAUCUAAUGACGACGUGAACAUAAAAAUGGCACGUGAUAUCUACAAUUGAUCCAAUGAACUAAAAUUGUCCCAUAAGCCACUUUUUCCACUGUUUGGCUCAUCCAACAACAACCUUUAUAAAAUAAGAAACCACACAACACAUAAAUUGAAAGACCUAAUAGAACAUGGAAGUGUUCCUAGCUCUAGCAACAUUGCCGACAUAUGCAUCUCAAGCAACAACAAACCAUGGCUCUUCUCCGUUUCUGAAGCAAGUUAAUUAAUAUGACAAAAUCAGAAAUAAAUCUAUAUUCUUUUCUAAUGGAUAUCAAUCUAUAAAUCUGAAUUAUAUUUGAGGCCACAAAGUGUAGCUUUUACCAUAACAAUACUGUACAUUUUGAGAAAACAAAUUGGGCUACUAAAUUAAUCAUGAGUAGAUCAUGAGAUUACUCGUCAAUUUUAGUGAGCCCAGCCACUCCUUACUUACACCUAUUCUUUUAAUCAACAUGCGCCUUUAAUUCCUCCAUGGCAGCAUACAACCACCAUCAUGCUACGUGGGGUUUAACACUCCCGCAGAAAUUAGAGCAAAACAAAAAAAAGAACUAUGUUGCGCAUACUUUCACCUCAUCUACUCACUAUAAUAUCUAGAAUUUGGAGCUGAGAAUAUACCUGCAGACAAAUAAUAUAACAUUGAUGGGGAUCCCUAACAUCUUAACCAAUCAGUUAUCCUCCAGCUUGAGACUACUUGUAAAGUAACUUUCUGCACUAAAUCCCUCGCCUGUAACGAUAAAUGGUUGUAUUUGCAUUGUACAUUUUUCUAAGGCGGGUCAUGAAUCUGGAAGAUCUUUCAACAAAACAU